GCCUGGGUGGCUCAGUCGGUUAAGCGUCUGACUUCAGCUCAGGUCAUGAUCUCGCGGUCCGUGAGUUCAAGCCCCGCGUCGGGCU
rnacentral:tRNA from 1 species